rnacentral:SRP_RNA from 1 species
GCCAGGCAUGGUGACGCAUGCCUGUAGUCCCAGCUACUCGGGAGGCUGAGGAGGGAAGAUUGCUUGAGCCAAGGAGUUCGAGGCUGCAGUGAGCUAUGAUCAUGCCACUGCACUCCAGCCUGAGCAACAGAGUGAGACCCCAUCUCUA